rnacentral:lncRNA from 1 species
AAUUUUAUCAUGAUUCAAAAUAUUUUGAAGCGAAUAUAAACAAAUACUUUAUAAAAAUCAUUAGGUGCUAGAAAUUUCUGAAGAGCCGAUUUUUUUAAAAUUUUGAAUGUAUCGUUCAUCUUUACAGAUUUAGUUAGUAUAUUUUAUACAAUUAUUAUAAUUAUAAAUUUAUUAAAAUAAAUAACAAUUUAAAUUUUAUAAUAAAUUAAAACACUAUGGACUGGCUCAAAUUAAAUAAAUUGAAAGAUUAAUAGUAAAAUUAAUAUUUUAAAAAAUUAAAUAGUUCAUUCGAAAUAGUACAAAGUUUAGAGAGAUUCCAUAUGUUUUUACCUAAAAUCUAUUUAUAAAAAUAAUUUUUUUUUUUUACUUUUAGAUAACCCAACAAUUUUAAAAAUUUUCUCAACAUUUACAUU